GGUGGUGAUCACAUUCUUUCCAGAGAGCAGCUUAUUAGUGUGCAGGGUGAGGAUGUUGAAUUGCAGAAGUUGGCUAGUAAGGCUGUUUCUUUUGAGGAGGUUAGCAAGCUUCCAGUUUGUUAUUACUUCAAGGAUGGUGUUCUGAUGAGGAAAUA